rnacentral:rRNA from 1 species
CCCUUAGAUGUUCUGGGCCGCACGCGCGCUACACUGACGAAUGCAACGAGCUUAUAACCUUGGCCGAAAGGUCUGGGUAAUCUCCAAAUUUCGUCGUGAAGGGGAUAGAUUAUUGCAAUUAUUAAUCUUCAACGAGGAAUGCCUAGUAAGCGCAAGUCAUCAGCUUGCGUUGAUUACGUCCCUGCCCUUUGUACACACCGCCCGUCGCUCCUACCGAUUGAAUGGUCCGGUGAAGCGUUCGGACCGUGGCCUUUGGACGGUUCGCCGUCUGUUGGCUGCGGGAAGUUCGUUAAACCUUAUCAUUUAGAGGAAGGAGAAGUCGUAACA